rnacentral:lncRNA from 1 species
CCCUCAAAUGCCUUCCCAUUGGCACAUGUGACAGUGCCUGAGAUGUAUUAAGGAAGGUCUUUCCUUUCAAGGCAGCCUGGUGUCUAGGGGGCCCUGUUGAGGACAGAAAUGUUCCAAGAAGAGAUGGCCCAGAGUCAGUGAGCAUCUCAGAGAGUGGAGGACUUUAUCAGGGAGGUGCAAAGCCCCUCGUCACCUGGGACUCAGAUGGAAAGAGACCUUGGGCAGAAGGGCAGGGGGACAGAGCCCCUGCCCCAGUGUCACUCCCCAGCAAGCAAAGAUGGAGGCCUUGCUCUCUGGCCAAGUCCAUGCUCUGGCGGGCACAGUUCUCCAAGAGUGCACUGCAGGAAAACAUCCUCUGGAGCAAAGUCACUGGGACAAACACCCCCGCCUCUCAGCUGAGGACACCACCCGAAGUUUGACCUGCGUCAGCCGUCCAUGUUUGCAGUUCCGCAGACCCAGCCUCUGGAGCCGGGGAGGAAGGGGAAGAGAGAAAGCACAGGGUUCCUCAGCGACUAGUUAGUUCCAGGGUGAACUGUAUCUUUGGAAAUACCCCAAAGUCAUUUGGAGCCAAGUCUGGAGAAUAAGGAGGCAUUGAAAUAG